UACAGAGGGGGCAAGCGUUAUUCGGAAUUAUUGGGCGUAAAGGGCGCGUAGGCGGCCUGGCAAGUGGAAGGUGAAAUCCCUCGGCUUAACCGAGGAACUGCCCUCCAAACUGCUUGGCUUGAGUCCGGGAGAGGUGAGUGGAAUUCCCAGUGUAGCGGUGAAAUGCGUAGAUAUUGGGAGGAACACCAGUGGCGAAGGCGGCUCACUGGACCGGAACUGACGCUGAGGCGCGAAAGCGUGGGAAGCAAACGGG
rnacentral:rRNA from 1 species